rnacentral:rRNA from 1 species
GAUGCACGCUGGCGGCGUGCCUAAUACAUGCAAGUCAAGCGAACGGACGAGAAGCUUGCUUCUCUGAUGUUAGCGGCGGACGGGUGAGUAACACGUGGAUAACCUACCUAUAAGACUGGGAUAACUUCGGGAAACCGGAGCUAAUACCGGAUAAUAUUUUGAACCGCAUGGUUCAAAAGUGAAAGACGGUCUUGCUGUCACUUAUAGAUGGAUCCGCGCUGCAUUAGCUAGUUGGUAAGGUAACGGCUUACCAAGGCAACGAUGCAUAGCCGACCUGAGAGGGUGAUCGGCCACACUGGAACUGAGACACGGUCCAGACUCCUACGGGAGGCAGCAGUAGGGAAUCUUCCGCAAUGGGCGAAAGCCUGACGGAGCAACGCCGCGUGAGUGAUGAAGGUCUUCGGAUCGUAAAACUCUGUUAUUAGGGAAGAACAUAUGUGUAAGUAACUGUGCACAUCUUGACGGUACCUAAUCAGAAAGCCACGGCUAACUACGUG